GACGUAGGGCGCGAGCGUUGUCCGGAUUUAUUGGGCGUAAAGAGCUCGUAGGUGGCUUGUUGCGUCUGCCGUGAAAGCCCGUGGCUUAACUACGGGUCUGCGGUGGAUACGGGCAGGCUAGAGGCUGGUAGGGGCAAGCGGAAUUCCUGGUGUAGCGGUGAAAUGCGCAGAUAUCAGGAGGAACACCGGUGGCGAAGGCGGCCUGCUGGGCAGUUGCUGACACUGAGGCGCGACAGCGUGGGGAGCAAACAGG
rnacentral:rRNA from 1 species